rnacentral:lncRNA from 10 species
AUGUAGCUAUAGAGUUCAGCAUUUUUCUACUUCAGGCUAUUUCUUUGAUUCUGCAACUUUUUGUCUCCCACUUUAAGGAUCACCCCAUUCCUGGGCCUGACGUCUUCUCUGUGAUCAUUAAGCCAAUUAUAUUGUAGCUGUGUCUGAAGCUUCCAAUCUAUGCAGGACUGUCGGAGAAAUGUGUUCUAAUUCUGCCUAUUUUCUGUCUGAUUCUUAGCUGGUGUGCUCUUCUCUAUGAUCCUACUCCCUGGCUGUGUGAGGCUCUUCAUGUCUUCAAAGGAGAUGAUGUACACAAAAGCAUCUGGUGCUUGAAGCCUAAAAUUUGGGAGAAUUCUAGAUUUGGCAUCUUGGAGAAAUAGCAGAAGAAGGUGUAACUGGAGAGAAGAGUACUGGAGAACACCAGAGCUCCAACAUGACGAGAGAUAAAUCCACUGGAAAGAAUAAAAUGAAUCCACUUCAUAAACAGCUGCAAAGUCCCAGAAGAAUCACUGUGUAACCCUGCAUGGUCACUUUGGUUAUAAGAGGAGCCUCCCCUAAGGUAAGAUUCAAGCCCUGGAUAUACUGACUAGGGUGCCAGGACUUUCUGUAAAGUACUAUUGUCUUAAUUGCUCGGUAUUUGUUAAAUUUGUGAAAAAUAUUAUUAUGUAUGUUUGCAUGCU